AUUGAACGCUGGCGGCAGGCCUAACACAUGCAAGUCGAGCGAGCGGCGGACGGGUGAGUAAUGUCUGGGGAACUGCCCGAUAGAGGGGGAUAACUACUGGAAACGGUAGCUAAUACCGCCUACUAUCGGAUGAACCCAUAUGGGAUUAGCUAGUAGGUGGGGUAAAGGCUCACCUAGGCGACGAUCCCUAGCUGGUCUGAGAGGAUGACCAGCCACACUGGGACUGAGACACGGCCCAGACUCCUACGGGAGGCAGCAGUGGGGAAUAUUGCACAAUGGGCGCAUGCCUGAUGCAGCCAUGCCGCGUGUAUGAAGAAGGCCUUCGGGUUGUAAAGUACUGUCAGCGGGGAGGCGUUACCCGCAGAAGAAGCACCGGCUAACUCCGUGCCAGCAGCCGCGGUAAUUC
rnacentral:rRNA from 1 species